GCGCACGGGUGAGUAACGCGUGGGAACGUACCCUUUAGUACGGAAUAANCCCAGGAAACUUGGGCUAAUACCGUAUACGCUUCGGGAAAGAUUCGCUAAAGGAUCGGCCCGCGUCUGAUUAGGUAGUUGGUGAGGUAACGGCUCACCAAGCCUACGAUCAGUAGCUGGUCUGAGAGGAUGAUCAGCCACACUGGGACUGAGACACGGCCCAGACUCCUACGGGAGGCAGCAGUGGGGAAUAUUGGACAAUGGGCGAAAGCCUGAUCCAGCCAUGCCGCGUGAGUGAAGAAGGCCUUCGGGUUGUAAAGCUCUUUCGGCGGGGACGAUUGACGGUACCCGCAUAAGAAGCCCCGGCAAACUUCGUGCCAGCAGCCGCGGUAAUACGAAGGGGGCUAGCGUUGUUCGGAAUUACUGGGCGUAAAGCGCACGUAGGCGGUGUUCCAUGUCAGAGGUGAAAGCCUGGGGCUCAACUCCAGAAUUGCCUUUGAAAC
rnacentral:rRNA from 1 species